UGUGAUUCGUCACACUAUCAUUAACUGAAUCCAUAGGUUAAUGAGGCGAACCGGGGGAACUGAAACAUCUAAGUACCCCGAGGAAAAGAAAUCAACCGAGAUUCCCCCAGUAGCGGCGAGCGAACGGGGAGGAGCCCAGAGCCUGAAUCAGCAUGUGUGUUAGUGGAAGCGUCUGGAAAGGCGCGCGAUACAGGGUGACAGCCCCGUACACAAAAGCGCAUGUGCUGUGAGCUCGAUGAGUAGGGCGGGACACGUGGUAUCCUGUCUGAAUAUGGGGGGACCAUCCUCCAAGGCUAAAUACUCCUGACUGACCGAUAGUGAACCAGUACCGUGAGGGAAAGGCGAAAAGAACCCCGGCGAGGGGAGUGAAAAAGAACCUGAAACCGU
rnacentral:rRNA from 1 species